rnacentral:rRNA from 1 species
UCCCAGUUCGGAUCGCAGGCUGCAACUCGCCUGCGUGAAGUUGGAAUCGCUAGUAAUCGCGGAUCAGCAUGCCGCGGUGAAUACGUUCCCGGGCCUUGUACACACCGCCCGUCACACCAUGAGAGUCGGGAACACCCGAAGUCCGUAGCCUGACCGCAAGGGGGCGCGGCCGAAGGUGGGUUCGAUAAUUGGGGUGAAGUCGUAACAAGGUACC